CCCUUAGAGUUUGAUCCUGGCUCAGAUUGAACGCUGGCGGCAUGCCUUACACAUGCAAGUCGAACGCGAAAGCGGGGCAACCCGCAAGUAGAGUGGCGAACGGGUGAGUAAUACAUCGGAACGUGUCCAGUAGCGGGGGAUAACCUCUCGAAAGAGAGGCUAAUACCGCAUACGACCUACGGGUGAAAGAGGGGGAUCGCAAGACCUCUCACUAUUGGAGCGGCCGAUGUCGGAUUAGCUAGUUGGUGGGGUAACGGCCUACCAAGGCAACGAUCCGUAGCUGGUCUGAGAGGACGGCCAGCCACACUGGAACUGAGACACGGUCCAGACUCCUACGGGAGGCAGCAGUGGGGAAUUUUGGACAAUGGGCGCAAGCCUGAUCCAGCCAUGCCGCGUGAGUGAAGAAGGCCUUCGGGUUGUAAAGCUCUUUCGGCGGGGACGAAACGGUCCGUAUUAACACUACGGAUCACUGACGGUACCCGCAGAAGAAGCACCGGCUAACUACGUGCCAGCAGCCGCGGUAAUACGUAGGGUGCAGGCGUUAAUCGGAAUUACUGGGCGUAAAGCGUGCGCAGGCGGUCUCUUAAGACAGGUGUGAAAUCCCCGGGCUUAACCUGGGAACUGCGCUUGUAACUGAGAGGCUUGAGUGCGGCAGAGGGGGGUGGAAUUCCACGUGUAGCAGUGAAAUGCGUAGAGAUGUGGAGGAACACCGAUGGCGAAGGCAGCCCCCUGGGUCGACACUGACGCUCAUGCACGAAAGCGUGGGGAGCAAACAGGAUUAGAUACCCUGGUAGUCCACGCCCUAAACUAUGUCAACUGGUUGUCGGGGAAG
rnacentral:rRNA from 1 species